rnacentral:rRNA from 1 species
UACGAAGGGGGCUAGCGUUGCUCGGAAUCACUGGGCGUAAAGCGCACGUAGGCGGAUCUUUAAGUCAGGGGUGAAAUCCUGGAGCUCAACUCCAGAACUGCCUUUGAUACUGGGGAUCUCGAGUCCGGGAGAGGUGAGUGGAACUGCGAGUGUAGAGGUGAAAUUCGUAGAUAUUCGCAAGAACACCAGCGGCGAAGGCGGCUCACUGGCCUGGUACUGACGCUGAGGUGCGAAAGCGUGGGGAGCAAACAGG